AUUGAACGCUGGCGGCAGGCCUAACACAUGCAAGUCGAGCGGUAACAGGAAGCAGCUUGCUGCUUUGCUGACGAGUGGCGGACGGGUGAGUAAUGUCUGGGAAACUGCCCGAUGGAGGGGGAUAACUACUGGAAGCGGUAGCUAAUACCGCAUAACGUCGCAAGACCAAAGAGGGGGACCUUAGGGCCUCUUGCCAUCGGAUGUGCCCAGAUGGGAUUAGCUAGUAGGUGGGGUAACGGCUCACCUAGGCGACGAUCCCUAGCUGGUCUGAGAGGAUGACCAGCCACACUGGAACUGAGACACGGUCCAGACUCCUACGGGAGGCAGCAGUGGGGAAUAUUGCACAAUGGGCGCAAGCCUGAUGCAGCCAUGCCGCGUGUAUGAAGAAGGCCUUCGGGUUGUAAAGUACUUUCAGCGGGGAGGAAGGGAGUAAAGUUAAUACCUUUGCUCAUUGACGUUACCCGCAGAAGAAGCACCGGCUAACUCCGUG
rnacentral:rRNA from 1 species